CAGGUACCAGGGAACCCAUAGUCAACUCUGAAAGAGGCACUCAACUUGGAGGGCUGACUGCAGAGAAGUCUAGAUGUUCCGGUAUGUGUCUGUGUCUCAGGGUGCAGUGGGGAUUGAGGGUGGGACCAGAAUUGGCCUGCUCUAAAGUAUAACUUCACAUAGUGGUGACUUAACUUGAAAGGAGCCGCAGGGGGCGUGAGAGCAGCUUGGAGAGGUGGGAGCCUGGGCUGCCGAUGGCUCCAGCCCGUGAAAGUGUGGAAAGCUCGUUCCAGGAAAAUUGGAAUAAUCACCGCAUUGGCUGGCUUUCAGGCGGUGAGUGGUUCUUUCUUUAAUUUGACAGGAGCGCUGGGUUUCAGGGAAGGGCGUGGUGGGAAGCCCUGUGGUUCAGACAGACCCCACGAAGCCAGUGAAGCUCCCAGGAGAAAGUCUGAUUCAUUUUUCCCUGGCCUGGCUUGCAGCAUGGUGGAGUCCACCAUCCAGGCUAUGCUGGGCAGGACAGGCUGCUCUGAUGCGGGUCAGAGAUUCUGGGACUCAGAACAUCUGCCUUGGCCCCCGCCCAGCCCGUGCCUAGCUUUGAAAAAGUCUGUUGGUGGUGUUGCAUGAUGACUUAAACUGCAGGAAGAGAGAAGCUCAUGAACAUUAAACUCUCCCCCAGUCUCUCUUGUGAGUUUCCUGAACACACACGUACUUAUACAUGCACAUACACGCCUUUGCCCACAUGUGCACAUACACAAGUGCACAUAUGCUUGCAGAUACACAGCCUCCCCAUAUGCACACUCACACAAAUACAUGUGUACAUGCCAUGCAGGCAUGCACUUGCAACUCACAAGCUCACACCCACAUGCACGCACACACAAAUAUGUUUUCCCUGCCUGCUAGCAGGGGUGUACCUACCAUUUGGCAUUCUUCUCAUGCUAACAUGAUCCCAUGUAAACGGUUCCCAGGAUUGGUAAGAUCAGACAGCUGUCCUUUUUAUGCAUUGCUUUACAGCUCAGUGUCUCACCUGAGCGAGACAACUGUCCCUGUCCGCUUCUGGAAAGAGCUGCCUCUGUUCCCUCUUUUCCUCCCUGGUGCUCUGUUGCAUGGUCUGGUGUGUUACAGAGAUUGGCAUGUUUGUGUCUGCAGGGGAGCCUCUGGGUGCUGGCUUUCUGUCCAGGGCUUCUGAGGGCCGCCAGCCCAAAGGGAAGGGAUUCAUCAGAGACUGAUAAGCUUAGGGUGUGCUGAGCUGUGAGGCCAUAUGUGUGUGUUUGUGUGUGUGUGUGUGGGUGUGUGGGUGUAUGUGUAGGCAUGUGUGUGUCUAUGUGAGGUGUGUGAUGUGUUUGCAUAUGCGUGUGUGGUGUGUGCAUGUGGGGGGUGUAUAUGUGAGUGUGUGUGGUGUGUGCAUAUGGACAUGUGUGUAUUUAUAUGUGCAUGUGUGGUAUGUUUGUGUGAGGUGUGUGUGCAUGUGUGUGGCAUGUAUAUGUGCCUGUGUGUGCCUAUGGGGUAUGUGAGAGUGUGUGCAGUGAGUGUGAGUGUGGCAUUUGUAUUUGGGCAUCUUUAACUUUGCAUUCUGCUUCUCCCCAUUUUCUGCUUCAAUUCCCAGAGCAGGGCUCAGCAAACUCCUUAACCUAUGUCUGCACUGGGAUCUUAAAUCCACUUCACAGACACUUUCCCAAGUCUCAUCUGAUUUAACAGUUUGCAGCCACCCUAGAAGUACUUGGUGUUGCUCCCAUUUUACAGAUAAGCAGACCGAGUCUCGGAGGGUUGAGUAGCCUGCCUGUGAAGGCAGAACCGGAACUUGGAUCCCUGGCUCUUUCACUCCUUCACUCCCUCCCUCCCUCUCCCUCACUCAUUAGUUAUACAUGCAACCUGCUCUGCACCGGGCAUGGCUGCUGGGCUCUUGGCCUGAAGACUGUAUUCAGCCCUUGUCCUUCAGCGG
rnacentral:lncRNA from 1 species